UGAACUCUUGCUUUAGACAUUGUCUAAUUGCCAUUCUGUUUGACUCUUUCUUCACUCACACAGCCAGUUUCCCAGUUUAGAUGCUGGACUGUCUGAUCCUCACAUUGCAUCCUUCUUUUUAUAAAACAGGUGGACCAAGUGACACAAUCCCACCAGUGAGGCCAGAGGACGGCUAGCAAGGGUGUCCUUCCAGUUAGAAAGUAAAAAGGAGCAUGCAUGAAGCAAUGGAACCAUAAAAAACAGAAUCAAGGUUUUCUACAAAAAAAAAUACCACAGAUACAAUGAUGAUCUCCUGCCACUGAUGACAUCUUAGUUUGUAAAUGAUUAUUCUUGCUUGAGUGCCCUCUGCUGGAAUUCCUGAUAUAUACACAUUGCCUCUACUUACAAGGACAAGCUGAUGUAGGCGAUUGGACUCUAGAGUCAAGGCUCUCAUGAGCCAAGUUUCCUGAGUUCAGCACACGGAUUCUGCUUUGGUGCAGUCAGUGUUGUUUCCAGUGCUGGUUAACCAAUGUGGAGUGUUCCUUCUUUCCAUUAGGAGUGACUCACUGUGGAAAGAUGGCAGCGUGCCUUCCCCAUCAGGACUUGGUCAUCAUUCCACUAUUCAUGAACAGAUGCCUUGCGCACAUCCCCAAGUGUAAGUGAAUUCAUUAAAAGAUCUGGGGAAUUGAGAUAUUAAUUCUAAAUCAUUACAUAUUAUAGAUUUUCUGGAAACAAGUAAGGGACAUGGCAAGGAGAGGAGACAGGAGAGAGUUUGUUUGACUCUUGGCCAGAAGUUGGUCUCCUGAGAUCAACCGAGAGAGUUCUUUUGAAAAAGCAUAACUUUGCAACUCUUAAAAAAGAUUUAAGCAGAUAUUGUCACAGCGUCGAAGGUGACACAAGACGAAGUUGAGUCAUGAACACCAAAUGCCAUAUAUGGAGGAAGAAAGCAAUAAUUUGCUGGAUGGGAGAGUGUGCAAGUGAUUUUGUUCUCUAUGUACUAUAGAAAAUAAUUUUCUGUUGAAUUUUUGUCAGUGCCUCUGUCCUACAGAGCAUUUGAAAGGAGACCGUUAAUAGUAAACAUUCCUAUAAAUACAUAGUGGCGUGUUUCUUCUUCUUUUCCAUUUAGAGCUUCGUUGCUCUCUUUCCAGAUUAUUUUUUUACUCAGGCAAUUUGGCACUAGUUAGUUGAUGUGUGGGUGGGUGUAUUUUCUCACCUGCACAAUUAACUUGAAGUUAUUUUUGGAAUCAUUUUCAUUUCCAGCUAUUAUGAUGAUACCAUACUUGGGAAAAAAUGCUGUUGAGUUUGAAUUCAGAGAUUCUGAGUAUCUAAGGGCAAAAUGUGACAAUCGGGUCACAGGGAGAACUUCAAAAUAGCAUCAAAACUGUGUUAGGAUGAAGUUGUCAAGUAGAUGAUUCCUAUGGAUGUGUUCUUCAUGCAUUCCGCCUCUGUUAGUUGAUGUCCCAUCAUGACAGCCCUAUGGGUGAAACAUUGAACAUUUCUAUCUGCUUUUCAAAUGACUUAAUGUCAUAAAAAUGGAGUAGUGCCUUGAAUGGUCUCUUCAAAAUCUUAUUCAAAAACGUGGAUGGAAUAAAUUGUAAAAAUAUACUCUGUUUCUGUAAUGAAAUCCUAAUGACAUUUUGUAUAUUUGGUCUUGUUUUGUUAGUUUAUUUUGGUAUUGCUUGUUACUUCAAACCCAUCAACACCACAAUCGUGUUGAGAUAAAUAUUCCCAUAUAUUGUUUGGCAAAGAGGAAGUAUGGGUUGUAGAGAGUCCAAACCUUUUGAGUAGAAAUCUCCAACUCUGAAGAGAUACAUGACUUAGGCAUCUUGAUGUUUAUCUUUCUAAAUAAAGACAGAGAAACCAACACCAGUAUCUGGCCCACUGACUGUCUUUGUAAAUUAAGUUUUAUUUGGACACCAGCCUACUGGUUUUGAGUACAACCUAUGACAUUUUACACUAUGGUGGUGGAAUCUAGCAAUUUUCACAUAGAUCACAGGACUCCAGAGCCUAAAGUAUUUCCUGUCUGAUCUUUAUAUGAAGUUUUCCAACUCAUAUUUCACAAGAUUUUCAUUGAUGUUUUGAGAUUACAGUAUCUUUAUUUCUUUUAGAAAUUAUAAAAAACUAAUUUGCACACAAAAUAUCUAAGUAAUAAUUUGUUAAAUAUUGAUUUUCAUGUCAGUGUUAAACAAUGAAUGUGAGUUACUAAUCAACCCUAUGUAAAAAUAAUUUUAAUGUACAUUUGGAUUUUCUUUUUUAAAUGUAGCCAACACUGUAAAUUCACUAAUUUAAAAGACAGUAUAAUUUCUUUUUUCCUAAAAACAUAGUAUUUUAGAGAUAUGCUUACUUUGAAGUAUCAAUUUUUAUUUAAUGAAAAUCCAUGCAUCAUGGACUUAAAACAUGAAUGAGAUAGAUAACAGCUGUGACAUCAAGAAAAACAGUGGGAUUGUGGGAAAUAGUUAUCCCUACCACAACCAUAUGUUCACAUUCCUGCCUUGCACAGUAACGUGGUAUCUUGGGUUGGAACAAGUGACCUUAAACCUGACAGGAAAGCCCAAGAAAUCAGCAAAUACGCAGGAACUCUUUCUUUGAGUUGUGUUAACAGUAGUCAUAGGUGAUCCUGUCUAGUAUAAAAAAUAGUAUUUGAACUUUAAAAACUACAGAUUUUUGUUGUAACUGAAGAAGAUGGAGAAGGAGCUGUCAUAGUUUAAGAAAAAAUGAUGAUUUUAGUAGAAUACGAAAUGUGUGCUGAUUCUUCUUUGAAAUAAGACAUGGAUCUCUGCCACCUGUUUCCACCCAGCUGUUUAGCUCCACUGUGGGUUGUUUUUUCUUUUUCAUCUGUGAUACAGUGUUCAGAUGUCAGCCAACAGCCCCACUUCCUUUUCAUACACAUCAUGCAAUCUACUUGUCUUCCUUUGGAUCUUAGAUGGUCUUGUGACUUGCUUUGACAAAUGAAAUGCAGAUCAUCUGACAUCCUGGGAUAACUGUGGUCCAGUCUUUGAGAGAAGUAGCAGAUUCUUCUGGAAACCCAGAAGAAGAUAAUAACUCAAAGAGGAAGGAAUCACAGUGACAUCAAACACUGCUGGCAGGUUCCAAACAGCCAACUCAUGCACUAAGAACAGGUCCCAGUCCCACCGCCUGGGAACCUCCCAAACAGUUCAAACUAAUCAACUGUCUCACUUAUCCAGAGGGCCUGAUCCAGUUGGGGGCUCCUCAGCUAUUGGUUCAUAGUUCAUGUGUUUCCACUAGUUUGGCUAUUGGUCCCUGUGCUUUUUGCAAUCAUGAUCUCAACAAUUCUUGCUCAUACAAUCCCUCCUCUUUUUUGCCUAUUCGACUCCUCGAGCUCCACAUGGGGCCUGGCCGAGGAUCGCUGCAUCCGCUUCCAUCAGUCAUUGGAUAAGAUUUCUAGCACGACAAUUUGGGUGUUUGGCCAUCCUAUCACCAGAGUAGUUACUCUACUCCUCAGCCAAGAGAUUUAGUUGAAAAUCAAGAACUUCAUGGAUGCGCUACUUGCUUGAAGCUUUUUCUGGCAGCGGUCAGCACUGGAGGCUCAAAGAAUGUCAUGUCAGCUGUAGCCAACAGAGAGGUUGCUCCCUUGAGGACUGAUACAGUGGAAAUAAAAGGUACAACAGUACAACUUCCAUCAAGAGAGUGAACUACAGCAGCCUUAUCUCUGGAACACACCCAUGUCUCUGAGGUAAUGUCUUCCAUGGGGAGGCAGACAAACUGAAAACUUCAGAGCAGCUUGCUGGGAGAAUGUGCCCUCUGCCAUGCAAAUUAGAUGCAGAGAUGGAGCAACAAGGAACUCUUCCAGACUCACCCUUAAAGACUUCCCAGAGAACAAGACACUGACGACCGUCGUGUGGGGCUUGGAUAGUCAGGGCCGAGCCAACUAUGUGCCGCCAGUCCUCAGAUGCAUCACAGUGCCCUUGAACUGUCAUUGCUUUUAGGUUUUCAUAGAGACAUCAUAAGUUUUCAGACCAAUGAAUGGUACCUGUGCUGUGGGGAAAUCCAACAAUACAAAUGAUAUAGUGACGGUUUAGCACCAAGUCCUUCUGGAUGAUGCUGUCAUCAGUACCAAAACCCUGGAGAGAACAGUCUUAUCAGUUACAAUUUUGGCUGAAGUAACAGAAUCUGAACCUUGGGCAAAGAUGGAAGUAUUUGCCAAACUCUCAGGGAUGGGUGGGGGUUAUGAUGAAAAGGUCCAAAUUCCUUUCUUCUAGAUUUUUAGAAAAAAUAUAUAUUUUUAAUUUUUUGCUUAGUCAUUUUGUGUGCUCAUGUAGGGGCAUGCACAAGUGUAUGCCAUAGCAGGUAUGUGCAGGUCAGAGAACAGUUUGUGUGAGUGGAUACUCUUAGCGAUGGCUAAUCUUUGUGGUCAAUUUGAACACUUCUGGAAUCAACUGAAACCCAAGCAUCUGGGCACAGCUGUAAGGGAUUGUUUUGAUUGGAUCAUUUGAGGUGGGAGACCCUACCUAACAUGGAUCAUUUCAAGUCUGAAGACCCACUGAAACCUGGACCACACCUUCUGGUAGCAACCUACAUAAAGGACGUGGAAGAAGGAAGCUUUUGCUUUUUGCCUGCUUGCCCUCACUCUCAGUGGCAAGUUCAUCUCUCCUACUACUGAGGCAUCCCUUUGAUGGUUUUAGAACCUUCUUCCUCAGAAUUCCAACACAGACUAAAGGUCAGCUGAGACAUUCAGUCUUAAGGACUGAACAACUGCUGAACGUUUGGCCUUUCCGUUGGGAGACAGCCAUUGUUGGACUACAAGGACCACAGCCUAGAAAUGCCACUCUACUAAGUCCCCUUUGUACGAAUGUAGACUCAUCUUAUCAGUUCUGUUCUUCUAGGUCAGUGGUUCCCAACCUUCCUACUGCUGCGACCCUUUAAUACAGAUUUGUAGGUGGUGGUGACCACCACUCCCAGCCAUAAGAUUAUUCUGUUGCUACUUCAUAACGGUAAUUUUUGUUACUGUUAUCAAUCGUAAUAUAAAUAUCUGAUAUGCAGGAUAACUGAUGUGUAACCCCCAAAAGGGUUGUGACCCACAGUUUGAGAACUGCUGCUCUAGAGAACCAUGACUAAUACACUCUCCUUCCACCAAGCAGAUUUCAAGGCUCAAUCUCAGGUCCUCAGGCUCGAUGGAAAGUACUUGGACCUGCUGUGUCCUCUAGUGGACCUUCUGCUAACUUGUUGGCAUGCAUAGUGCAUGGUGUCACUGUUAGUCACCCACUGCAAUGACACCCAGGGCCCCUUCCCCUUAUCUGACUAUAACUCAGCAUCCACUAACCUUCCCUCUCCUCCUCUCCUUUCCUGCCCCCUCAUUUUAUUGAUGAUAACAAAAUAAUCUCUUUUAAGCAAAAUAAUUAUAUCUAUAACAUUUACAUUAUUUAUAGAUGAUACAGAUACAUGUAAGGAAGAAAAAAGUCUGUAAUCCCACCACCAUUGUCUACAGCUAACUGACUUUUAAGUUUUUGGUGUGCAUCCUUCCACUUCUCCCAUUCUACACACACAUGCAUGCACAUGCACACACCAGUGCACAUGUUGUAUGUGAUACAUCUGCAUGAACAUGUACUAUAACACGAGGGUAUAUGAAGUGGCAGACAACUUUGAUAUUCUGACUUUUGAAGUAUCACCCUCAUUUUUCAGUGUUUGAUAAUCUUUUAUGUUUAAAAGUUAAAUCUCACUAUAAUUGAGUCAAUUAGUAAAGCAUACAUAAAUAAAAAUAUUUUCACACCCCCCCAACCCACAUCUCUGAAGUAAACACUAGUCACAAUUUAGUGUCUAGUCUCACAGACCCUUUAUAAUACUAUGUUCCUUAAAAUGUGAAUAAACAAACACAUAAGCAUGCUUAAGAUGUCAGCUCAUUAGCUGUCAUUUUUGAGGAACCCUUUGGGUUUUCAUAAGGAACAGUGGGUUGGGAAUGUCAACAUUUAGUCUGUUUGCUUGGCGGUAAGACUAGAACAUUGCAAUUGAAUAAAGUUGAUAAAUCCAGGCCUUUUGUGUUUGACUCCUCAUUACCCUCUGCCUUAUUAGCGCCCGAAUUCAUGAUCUGCAGGACCAGUCUUUGCGGAGAAAGGUGCUUCCCGUGUAGACAAAUGAUAAGAAAUGACUCCUUUGCACUUGGCACCGGGGUCUCUGCAGAUGGAUAUCUAUCCAAUUUAAUAAUCACUCAGCAUUCAGAAAAAAAUAUUUUCUCUCAAGUGCUGAAGAAAUAUUUGUUGUUAUCUUGUUUAGCUUGUAGAAAAUUGGACUCACAUUUUUUUCUAACCUUUUUUAAAAAGGUCCUGUAGGAAAAGGACUUGAAGAUUAACUCAAUAGCCAUUGACUUUAGAGAAUGAGACACCUAUGAAAUUAUUAAAAACACUUAAACUCAUGGAGUUUCUCACCAAACUUACUUUAGUCUAAUUAAAUGGCUGUCCCCCAUCGCUCUUAUAUUUUGUUUUAUACUAGAUAAGAAGCAAAUAUAUCAUCUCUGGGUGGCAUUAAAUAUUUCUCUCAUAAUAUAUCAUCAACAGAGUCUUGCUGGAUUAAUGAAUCAUGUGCAUGUUUGAAAGUGGGAUUGUACUUGUCUAAUUGUGGCAUCAGUUGUCAUGGAGACUAUCAGCCAAUCAGUGAAUAAACACCCUUUCUUGGCAAUGUUUGGGUGAAGAAAGCUUUGUGCGGUUGUCAGCCUGAGAUUUAUGACGGUAAAACUAUAUUUGGCAGUCCAAUCAAUGUGUUGACCACUCUUUGUGUCUCUGCCCUCAUUUUGAGUCAACCCCUGAUAUUCAACUAGAAUAUUAAGAAACUCUGGGUCUUUGGAGCAGUUUUGUUAUUAAUAGAUCACUUUUAUAAACUGUGCAUGGAAUGACUAGCUAUUUGUAUACAUAUCCAGUGAAAGCAACCCUUGGUAUUUCUUUGUAUUUCUAAUUGCAAAUGUCAGAUCUUGAAAGCAAGUGUGUAUUAGAGGAUAUCUUUUUAUGUCUACUAUUAAAACAUGUCGAGUGAUCUAUAAAUUACCCCAUAGAUAAACAGUGGAUUAAAAUUAGGCACUCUCCUCUGUCAUCGCCAUAAUAUUAAUCAUGGGAGUUUGGGUCUUUAAUGUUAAUAUAUACCUUUUAGCAGUAUAUGUCACUACAUAUUAAAUUACAUGAUAGCUGACAGAUUUUUAAAUCAAAACAUUUUUUCUUUCCUAAUGUCAUAACAUGAGAAGAAAUAGAGUAAUUUUUGCUUGCAUGGAAUAUUGCUUAAUCCUUGUUCAUGCUGUUUUGGUUGUUUAUAUUCACAAUGGAUGCAGAUGUUUUUACCACUAACUAUCCUUAU